rnacentral:rRNA from 1 species
GAGUUUGAUCCUGGCUCAGAUUGAACGCUGGCGGCAGGCCUAACACAUGCAAGUCGAACGGUAGCGGGAAGAAGCUUGCUUCUUUGCCGACGAGUGGCGGACGGGUGAGUAAUGUCUGGGGAUCUGCCUGAUGGAGGGGGAUAACUACUGGAAACGGUGGCUAAUACCGCGUAACGUCGCAAGACCAAAGUGGGGGACCUUCGGGCCUCACGCCAUCAGAUGAACCCAGAUGGGAUUAGCUAGUAGGUGAGGUAAUGGCUCACCUAGGCGACGAUCUCUAGCUGGUCUGAGAGGAUGACCAGCCACACUGGAACUGAGACACGGUCCAGACUCCUACGGGAGGCAGCAGUGGGGAAUAUUGCACAAUGGGCGCAAGCCUGAUGCAGCCAUGCCGCGUGUGUGAAGAAGGCCUUCGGGUUGUAAAGCACUUUCAGCGAGGAGGAAGGGUUGGAUGUUAAUAGCAUUCAGCAUUGACGUUACUCGCAGAAGAAGCACCGGC